CUUAGAGUUAGAGAAGAAAAAAAAAUCUUUCCCCAGACUGACGAGGCCCAGCUUCUUCGCCCAUGCACUGGAUCAGCUUGUACCACUGAGCCCAGCGGAUGGAAAGAAACAGCGUCAUUUUCCUUCAAGUCUGAGCAAAAGAUGGAACCCAGUAGCAGUGACGUGACAGUGCUCACACCUGCGGAGGGAGGGGGACGCCCUACCAUGGUGGUGCCGAGAAGAUGACGUGGCUCCCUUACAGAGGCCUUCAGCCAAAAGCACUGCACACGGAUGGCAGAAUUUAUCCAGGGCAUCUCAGCAGCACAGCUCUUCCCAAGAAGAAGAACCCCAGCAAACAAAGGACACAAAGGACUUCAGGGCAGCAGAUCCUCUUGAACACUGACAACUCCCACACAGGCAAGUGCCCUCCCCUGCUUAAUUCCGGCGCAAUUUAGCAUCGUGAAUCACUGCUCCCAGGCCUCCAUUUGUCUUUCACAGGAAAACGUCCCGAGGUGGCGAGGGUGGCUCUCAUCUUGCGUGUCCCCCCACAAACCUUUUCUUCCCUCUCAUGUCAUCUCUCAUGACCGUCCUCUUCAGCGUCACUGGUAGCGUCAUCCUUGCUCCCCUCACGUCAGCUGCUCAAUGACCCCCUGCCCAGCCGCACGCCCCUGUUGGGGUGGCGGCACCCCACCUUCCUCCUGCCAGAAGCCAGAAUUGCUCUUCUGAGACGCAGAGCACUGGCCUUUCCAUCUGCUGUGUCCUCCGCCAGCCACUUUCCAGAAGCCCAGGGGCGACACAGCCAGCGGGUGGGCUCCUUCCAUCUGCACUGCACUGCCUUCCGCCAGGCUGUGCGUCAGCCAGGCACUGUCGCCCGGGCUUCAGAGCUCUAAAGGGCACUUUGUCCCAAGCCCUGGUGUGUGCCUGAGAUGAAGCCUCAUUUUAAAAAAAAGAAGCAGGAUCAUGCAGGGAACACGCUUGCACUAGAGGAGGGGGCUAGCAAUGUUGUCUGGCAAAUUACAGGUUUUCUUUUAUUGCAAUUUAAAAAAAAAAAAGAACCCACUGAGAAGAUGAUUCUCUUAAUUCAUUUGAGUAGGAAGAUGGGCAUUUUGUGACACGCUGUGUCUUUUUGUGAUACGCUGGAACAAAGGUAAUAGUAAGAAUUCUUGUUCACGCUGGGGGCCCUGGACAACACCCGAGGAUACUAGGAACAGUGGUUCCUGGCCGCAGGACCUGCUCCAACCUGCUAGCUCAAAAAUCCGCCUGAGCAUAGCUAGUGCUGGCCUGUCUCCAUUGUUUCACAGACUCUGCCCCUCUGGGCUGUAGGCUUCAUGGAUGCGGCUCUAAGGCUCAUUUCUCUCUGCUCUUGGACCCGAGUCUCAAGUCUGUGCAGCUUUAAAGAUGCCAGCUUGUUCAAGAUGUCAGCUCAGCUGCCGCGAGGGCUGAGGGACUGACUUGACACAAGAGCCUUCCCUAGCCCAGCGCCCUGGAUUUCCUUAGCUGAAUUUCUCCACCAAGCACCACAAAAUGUGUGUCCCCAGCAUCAAGCUACAGGAAGGGGGGCUCUCCAGGCUACUGACCAUCCAGUAACUCCUGUGUUUUCUGUGACUCCAGAGCAGGACCGGACUGGGUGCUGGGUACCCAGGCACAUCAGGCAGCUGUCAACCCUCCCCCUCCCCUACCCCCCCCCCCCAUCUAGGUGAGAGACAGAGCCAUGUCGGCAGCCAUUGACUGACAGGGUACCAUGAUUCUGGCAAAGAAGAACCCAGGACAGCAAGCAGUCUUGGUCCAAAUGGGACAUCACAUAGGUGGGCAGAGGUUCAAUCUCUGCUUAACAAACAUGAGUCCAUCUAAGUACAUGAACCCCACCAGUAUCCCAUGCAAAGUCCUUAGAACAGUGGCUUGGAGAGGCCACAUGGGUUCCAGCCACAGUCCAGCCACCAAGCCAUUGGAGGGGACAAUAGUCCCAGCUCCUGUUCUGCGUGAGAGCUUACAGCCACACAUGCCAGGGACAGAAGACAGACUCGCUCCAGGGGAGAGUGAGUCUGCCAGCUCUUUGCCUUUUCCCAUCCCCCUCUCAUGUAGAUUUCUGCCCAGGGUUCAACAAGGUUGGUUGUCCCUUUGGGAAAAGAAGGUACCUUGCGGCCUUGGCUCCUGCUUCUACCUUUGGGAGAAGACUAACUACUUGGUCCUGCUGGUAGCCGGUGGGGCCAGAGAGUCUGCUGACAAUGUGGGGCGCAGCAAAGGGCACCGCCAUCCUGUGUAGCAGUGUGGUUUCCUCUAGUAGGCAUUUUCAUCCCAGCCCCAGGAAGAACAAUGACAGUUGACAGAGUGAGCAAGGACUUAAGCCUGUGACAUAAAACACGAAGCCUUGGCGUUUCCAAUGAGAAACCUGAUAAAAAUAAACAAGACACACUGGAGAACAAGUCAUGACUGCGUCCAGUUCCACACCAUAGCUGCCUGCAACUCCUGCCGAGGUGGCUCAGGACUUGCAAGCAGUACGUGAAUGAAGGUCCUGAGAACUGGUCUUGACAAGUGAGGACAAGAGGUACCAAGAAGGCAGCAGGAUCCACUGAUGACACCCAGACAGGAUGAGAAGGGGUUGUAGGGGGUUCCCAUCCAGACAAGCUUGUCCAAGCCCGUGUGUAACUGAGGUUCAGGAGCCCCACGCUUCACACAGCACAGGUGUCAUGCUAACUUGCCAGGUGACUUCCUACUCAGUGUGACCUGUGGGAAGUGGGUGAGGGGAUGCAAAGUUCCCAGGUCUCCUUUUCUUCUUUCCCUUUCUUUUUUUCACUCUUAUAUAACGUAUAAUGGAAUAAGCAAGUAGUGGGUCUGGGAGCGCACAUGUGCACACACACAGACACAGACACAUGCGCACAUGCACACACACACACGCAGACACAUGCACACACAUGCGUGCACGCACGCA